AUUGAACGCUGGCGGCAUGCUUUACACAUGCAAGUCGAACGGUAACAGGCCGCAAGGUGCUGACGAGUGGCGAACGGGUGAGUAAUGCAUCGGAACGUGCCCAGUCGUGGGGGAUAACGCAGCGAAAGCUGCGCUAAUACCGCAUACGAUCUAUGGAUGAAAGCGGGGGACCGUAAGGCCUCGCGCGAUUGGAGCGGCCGGUGUCAGAUUAGGUAGUUGGUGGGGUAAAGGCGCACCAAGCCAACGAUCGGUAGCUGGUCUGAGAGGACGACCAGCCACACUGGGACUGAGACACGGCCCAGACUCCUACGGGAGGCAGCAGUGGGGAAUUUUGGACAAUGGGCGCAAGCCUGAUCCAGCAAUGCCGCGUGCAGGAAGAAGGCCUUCGGGUUGUAAACUGCUUUUGUACGGAACGAAACGGCUCUGGUUAAUACCUGGGGCUAAUGACGGUACCGUAAGAAUAAGCACCGGCUAACUACGUGCCAGCCGCCGCGGUAACAC
rnacentral:rRNA from 1 species